UGAAUUAUGUGUAUGAUGCAUUGU
rnacentral:siRNA from 1 species